AAAUGAGCAAAAGAAAAAGCAAAGAAGACAAAGAGAAAAGGGAACACAAAGGAACCCAAGUGAGCGGUUGGCUGUGUUCUUUGUUCUUGUUCACUUUAAUUCACGCUUCCAUUCCGCUCGCUUCUCUCCCUUCCAUUUCAUUGUAAUUAAAGUGA
rnacentral:ribozyme from 1 species